UUGCUUCUCGCUGACGAGCGGCGGACGGGUGAGUAAUACUUAGGAAUCUACCUAGUAGUGGGGGAUAGCUCGGGGAAACUCGAAUUAAUACCGCAUACGACCUACGGGAGAAAGGGGGCAACUUGUUGCUCUCGCUAUUAGAUGAGCCUAAGUCGGAUUAGCUAGAUGGUGGGGUAAAGGCCUACCAUGGCGACGAUCUGUAGCUGGUCUGAGAGGAUGAUCAGCCACACCGGGACUGAGACACGGCCCGGACUCCUACGGGAGGCAGCAGUGGGGAAUAUUGGACAAUGGGGGCAACCCUGAUCCAGCCAUGCCGCGUGUGUGAAGAAGGCCUUUUGGUUGUAAAGCACUUUAAGCAGUGAAGAAGACUCCAUGGUUAAUACCCAUGGACGAUGACAUUAGCUGCAGAAUAAGCACCGGCUAACUCUGUGCCAGCAGCCGCGGUAAUACAGAGGGUGCAAGCGUUAAUCGGAAUUACUGGGCGUAAAGCGAGCGUAGGUGGCUUGAUAAGUCAGAUGUGAAAGCCCCGGGCUUAACCUGGGAACGGCAUCUGAUACUGUUAGGCUAGAGUAGGUGAGAGGAAGGUAGAAUUCCAGGUGUAGCGGUGAAAUGCGUAGAGAUCUGGAGGAAUACCGAUGGCGAAGGCAGCCUUCUGGCAUCAUACUGACACUGAGGUUCGAAAGCGUGGGUAGCAAACAGGAUUAGAUACCCUGGUAGUCCACGCCGUAAACGAUGUCUACUAGUCGUUGGGUCCCUUGAGGACUUAGUGACGCAGCUAACGCAAUAAGUAGACCGCCUGGGGAGUACGGCCGCAAGGUUAAAACUCAAAUGAAUUGACGGGGGCCCGCACAAGCGGUGGAGCAUGUGGUUUAAUUCGAUGCAACGCGAAGAACCUUACCUGGUCUUGACAUAUCUAGAAUCCUGCAGAGAUGCGGGAGUGCCUUCGGGAAUUAGAAUACAGGUGCUGCAUGGCUGUCGUCAGCUCGUGUCGUGAGAUGUUGGGUUAAGUCCCGCAACGAGCGCAACCCUUGUCCUUAGUUACCAGCGGUUUGGCC
rnacentral:rRNA from 1 species